AGUUUGAUCCUGGCUCAGGAUGAACGCUAGCUACAGGCUUAACACAUGCAAGUCGAGGGGCAGCAUUGGAGUAGCAAUACUUCAGAUGGCGACCGGCGCACGGGUGAGUAACACGUAUCCAACCUGCCGCUUACUCGGGGAUAGCCUUUCGAAAGAAAGAUUAAUACCCGAUGGUAUAAAGAGUUCGCAUGUUCUCUUUAUUAAAGAAUUUCGGUAAGCGAUGGGGAUGCGUUCCAUUAGAUUGUUGGCGGGGUAACGGCCCACCAAGUCUACGAUGGAUAGGGGUUCUGAGAGGAAGGUCCCCCACAUUGGAACUGAGACACGGUCCAAAUCCUACGGGAGGCAGCAGUGAGGAAUAUUGGUCAAUGGACGAGAGUCUGAANCCAGCCAAGUAGCGUGAAGGAUGACUGCCCUAUGGGUUGUAAACUUCUUUUAUAAGGGAACAAAGUGAGGGACGUGUCCCUUUUUGUAUGUACCUUAUGAAUAAGGAUCGGCUAACUCCGUGCCAGCAGCCGCGGUAAUACGGAGGAUCCGAGCGUUAUCCGGAUUUAUUGGGUUUAAAGGGAGCGUAGGUUGACGUAUAAGUCAGCUGUGAAAGUUUACGGCUCAACCGUGAAAUUGCAGUUGAUACUGUAUGUCUUGAGUGUACAAGAGGUGGGCGGAAUUCGUGGUGUAGCGGUGAAAUGCUUAGAUAUCACGAAGAACUCCAAUUGCGAAGGCAGCUCACUGGGGUACAACUGACACUGAGGCUCGAAAGUGUGGGUAUCAAACAGGAUUAGAUACCCUGGUAGUCCACACAGUAAACGAUGAAUACUCGCUGUUUGCGAUAUACAGUAAGCAGCCAAGCGAAAGCAUUAAGUAUUCCACCUGGGGAGUACGCCGGCAACGGUGAAACUCAAAGGAAUUGACGGGGGCCCGCACAAGCGGAGGAACAUGUGGUUUAAUUCGAUGAUACGCGAGGAACCUUACCCGGGCUUGAAUUGCAGAGGAACAUAGUUGAAAGAUUAUGGCCGCAAGGUCUCUGUGAAGGUGCUGCAUGGUUGUCGUCAGCUCGUGCCGUGAGGUGUCGGCUUAAGUGCCAUAACGAGCGCAACCCUUAUCAUUAGUUACUAACAGGUCAUGCUGAGGACUCUAGUGAGACUGCCGUCGUAAGAUGUGANGAANGU
rnacentral:rRNA from 1 species